GCAUAUCAAUAAGCGGAGGAAAAGAAACCAACAGGGAUUGCCCCCAGUAACGGCGAGUGAAGCGGCAACAGCUCAAAUUUGAAAUCUGGCCCUUACGGGUCCGAGUUGUAAUUUGUAGAGGAUGCUUUUGGCAAGGCGCCGCCCGAGUUCCCUGGAACGGGACGCCACAGAGGGUGAGAGCCCCGUCUGGCUGGCCGCCGAGCCUCUGUAAAGCUCCUUCGACGAGUCGAGUAGUUUGGGAAUGCUGCUCAAAAUGGGAGGUAUAUGUCUUCUAAAGCUAAAUAUUGGCCAGAGACCGAUAGCGCACAAGUAGAGUGAUCGAAAGAUGAAAAGCACCUUGAAAAGAGGGUUAAAUAGUACGUGAAAUUGUUGAAAGGGAAGCGCUUGUGACCAGACUUGGGCGCGGCGGAUCAUCCGGGGUUCUCCCCGGUGCACUUCGCCGCGUCCAGGCCAGCAUCAGUUCGUCGCGGGGGAAAAAGGCUUCGGGAACGUGGCUCCCUCGGGAGUGUUAUAGCCCGUUGCGUAAUACCCUGCGGUGGACUGAGGACCGCGCAUCUGCAAGGAUGCUGGCGUAAUGGUCACCAGCGACCCGUCUUGAAACACGGACCAAGGAGUCGUCUUCGUAUGCGAGUGUUCGGGUGUCAAACCCCUACGCGUAAUGAAAGUGAACGCAGGUGAGAGCUUCGGCGCAUCAUCGACCGAUCCUGAUGUUCUCGGAUGGAUUUGAGUAAGAGCAUACGGGGCCGGACCCGAAAGAAGGUGAACUAUGCCUGUAUAGGGUGAAGCCAGAGGAAACUCUGGUGGAGGCUCGCAGCGGUUCUGACGUGCAAAUCGAUCGUCAAAUAUGGGCAUGGGGGCGAAAGACUAAUCGAACCUUCUAGUAGCUGGUUCCGCCGAA
rnacentral:rRNA from 1 species